GGAAUAUUGGGCAAUGGAGGAAACUCUGACCCAGCGACGCCGCGUGCGGGAUGAAGGCCUUCGGGUUGUAAACCGCUUUCAGCAGGGAAGAAGCGAAAGUGACGGUACCUGCAGAAGAAGCACCGGCUAACUAUGUGCCAGCAGCCGCGGUAAUACAUAGGGUGCAAGCGUUGUCCGGAAUUAUUGGGCGUAAAGAGCUCGUAGGUGGUUCGUCACGUCGGAUGUGAAACUCUGGGGCUUAACCCCAGACCUGCAUUCGAUACGGGCGAGCUUGAGUAUGGUAGGGGAGUCUGGAAUUCCU
rnacentral:rRNA from 1 species